rnacentral:rRNA from 1 species
CAAUAGCGUCUAUUAAAGUUGUUGCAGUUAAAAAGCUCGUAGUUGAAUUUCUGUCAGGAGUGACCGGGCCUUUGGAUGAACUUCCAUUGUUUUUUGCUCUGUUUGUCAUCUCUAGACAUCCUGAAAUAUUUUUUAAAAAUAUUUCUCUUUUACUGUUAGCAAAAUAGAGUGUUCCAAGCAAAGCGUAGUUUUGAAUACAUUAGAAUGGAAUAAUAAGAUAGGACUUUGGUGCUAUUUUGUUGGUUUGCACACCAAGGUAAUGAUUAAUAGGGACAGUUGGGGGUAUUCGUAUUUAAUUGUCAGAGGUGAAAUUCUUGGAUUUAUGAAAGACGAACUACUGCGAAAGCAUUUACCAAGGAUGUUUUCAUUAA